rnacentral:rRNA from 1 species
AUACGGAGGGCGCAAGCGUUGUUCGGAAUCAUUGGGCGUAAAGCGGGUGCAGGCGGUGAAGUCAGUCGGAUGUGAAAGCCCAGGGCCCAACCCUGGAACUGCAUUCGAAACUGCUUCACUAGAGUCCCGGAGGGGAAGGCGGAAUUCCCGGUGUAGAGGUGAAAUUCGUAGAUAUCGGGAGGAACACCAGUGGCGAAGGCGGCCUUCUGGACGGUGACUGACGCUCAGACCCGAAAGCGUGGGGAGCAAACAGGAUUAGAAACCCCAGUAGUCC